rnacentral:miRNA from 1 species
AGCUGCUUGUUCAUGGUUCCC